AGCUUUUUGAAUCCGUGCUGAGAUUUCGUCAGACACCAACCCAUUAGGUCUGAUCAGACUGCCAAUAUAGGUGAAGUU
rnacentral:pre_miRNA from 1 species